GGAGCAGUGUGUGGCCGAAUGGUUACGCUGUCCGCUUUGUAAGCGGAUGAUUCUGGGUUCGAUUCCCAUCUGCUCCA
rnacentral:tRNA from 1 species